CGAUGUGCUGGCUGGAGUAGGAGUGGAGGUAGACAUGGACCGAUGUGCUGGCUGGAGUAGGAGUGGAGGUAGACAUGGACCGAUGUGCUGGCUGGAGUA